GAUGAACGCUGGCGGCGUGCCUAACACAUGCAAGUCGAACGAAGAUGCGUGUUUGAUCCCUUCGGGGUGACGAUGCGUAGACUUAGUGGCGGACGGGUGAGUAAUGUAUGAGCAACCUGCCUUCAAGAGGGGAAUAACAGUCGGAAACGACUGCUAAUACCGCAUAACAAAGCGUGAUCGCAUGAUCAUGUUUUCAAAGGAGCAAUCCGCUUGAAGAUGGGCUCAUAUCUGAUUAGAUAGUUGGUGAGGUAACGGCUCACCAAGUCUGCGAUCAGUAGCCGGACUGAGAGGUUGAACGGCCACAUUGGAACUGAGAUACGGUCCAGACUCCUACGGGAGGCAGCAGUGGGGAAUAUUGGGCAAUGGGCGAAAGCCUGACCCAGCAACGCCGCGUGAAGGAAGAAGGUCUUCGGAUUGUAAACUUUUGUCUUAUGGGACGAUAAUGACGGUACCAUAGGAGGAAGCCACGACUAACUACGUG
rnacentral:rRNA from 1 species